UGAUGGUGGUGAGGGAAAUUCCCAAGCAUACCUUUAAAUCUCUCCCACACUCGGUAGAGAUUCUCUCCUUUUUUUUGUUUGAAACUCAAAAUUUCACUCCUUAACCG
rfam:Capsicum annuum cultivar Zunla-1 chromosome 7, whole genome shotgun sequence